GACGAACGCUGGCGGCGUGCCUAAUACAUGCAAGUAGAACGCUGAAGGAGGAGCUUGCUUCUCCGGAUGAGUUGCGAACGGGUGAGUAACGCGUAGGUAACCUGCCUGGUAGCGGGGGAUAACUAUUGGAAACGAUAGCUAAUACCGCAUAACAGUAGAUGUUGCGUGACAUUUGCUUAAAAGGUGCAAUUGCAUCACUACCAGAUGGACCUGCGUUGUAUUAGCUAGUUGGUGAGGUAACGGCUCACCAAGGCGACGAUACAUAGCCGACCUGAGAGGGUGAUCGGCCAUACUGGGACUGAGACACGGCCCAGACUCCUACGGGAGGCAGCAGUAGGGAAUCUUCGGCAAUGGACGGAAGUCUGACCGAGCAACGCCGCGUGAGUGAAGAAGGUUUUCGGAUCGUAAAGCUCUGUUGUAAGAGAAGAACGAGUGUGAGAGUGGAAAGUUCACACUGUGACGGUAUCUUACCAGAAAGGGACGGCUAACUACGUG
rnacentral:rRNA from 1 species